GACUCUCGGCAACGGAUAUCUCGGCUCUCGCAUCGAUGAAGAACGUAGCGAAAUGCGAUACCUGGUGCGAAUUGCAGAAUCCCGCGAACCAUCGAGUCUUUGAACGCAAGUUGCGCCCGAGGCCACUCGGCCGAGGGCACGCCUGCCUGGGCGUCA
rnacentral:rRNA from 2 species